GAUCCUGGCUCGGGAUGAACGCUGGCGGCAUGCCUAAGACAUGCAAGUCGUACGAAGGGGCCCAAUGAAAGGAAUUGAAAUUCAGAGUGCUUGCACAAAGAAUGGAUUUUCUUGGAUUUGGAUUUUCCCCUUAGUGGCAAACGGGUGAGUAACACGUGGGUUACCUACCUCUAAGAUGGGGAUAACAGUUGGAAACGACUGAUAAUACCGAAUGUGCUCUACGGAGUAAAGAAGCCCUUAAAGCUUCGCUUAGAGAUGGG
rnacentral:rRNA from 1 species